GACUACUCUCUACAUUAAUCUCUUAGAUACAAGAAGUGUCCGAUAAUUGAUACUAGACUCUACAGCAAGCUCUUACAGUAGGCAAACUCUUGUGAGCAAAACUACAAAUGGUAUAAUGAAGAGCACAGUACAUCAAACGGCAACUAUACAAUCUCAGACAGAAACCAAUGAUCUUUUAGACAAAGCUACAAACGGUAGGGAAAAGACCACGACAACGCCUGUUAGCCAAUCAAGGACAACGACAUCUGCUUCCCCAGGCAAUAUCAUUCAUACAGACAAACUUCACAUCCCAACUACUCCUAGUAAUUAUUCGUGCUCAGAACUUCCACUCCGAGUUUUCAUAAUCAUGGCAGUAGCGAGUUUUGUUUUCAUAACAUUAAUUGUUAUUUGGAUUAUUUGGAAAUUCUACAAAAGGGACAAUACAAACAAAAAAGAAGAUAAACUAUCAAAAGACAGAGAGUCAAUUUAUCAAAUGUAGAAUUACAAUCUAUACACGACACUGCAAACGAGGUGUACGAAAGUGCUAAAUUCGAAUUUCCCGACGCACGUGCAGCUCGCGAAGAAGGAGUAGCAGCUGAUCAUGACGAACACGACGAUGUAUACGAGACGGCAAGUCAGAACAAUACAGCUUACGGAACUACUUGAUGCGUCGAUAUACGUCAGCAUGCAUUCAGCAACUGUACAAGAGUGCGCUACUCAGUGCUUGAAAACUUUGCAUGGGUGAGCGAAUUCGCUCUUGAGUUCUAAAUAUGUAGCCAUGCAGUGAUUGUGGAUCUAAACAAAUUGCUGAAUACGGAAAUCA